rnacentral:rRNA from 1 species
GACGAACGCUGGCGGCGCGCCUAACACAUGCAAGUCGAACGGAGCUGAGAGAAGCUUGCUUUUCUUAGCUUAGUGGCGAACGGGUGAGUAACGCGUGAGUAACCUGCCCUGGAGUGGGGGACAACAGUUGGAAACGACUGCUAAUACCACAUAAGCCCACGAUCCGGCAUCGGAUUGAGGGAAAAGGAUUUAUUCGCUUCAGGAUGGACUCGCGUCCAAUUAGCUAGUUGGUGAGGUAACGGCCCACCAAGGCGACGAUUGGUAGCCGGACUGAGAGGUUGAACGGCCACAUUGGGACUGAGACACGGCCCAGACUCCUACGGGAGGCAGCAGUGGGGGAUAUUGCACAAUGGGGGAAACCCUGAUGCAGCGACGCCGCGUGGAGGAAGAAGGUUUUCGGAUUGUAAACUCCUGUCGUUAGGGACGAUAAUGACGGUACCUAACAAGAAAGCACCGGCUAACUACGUG